rnacentral:rRNA from 1 species
GACGAACGCUGGCGGCGUGCCUAAUACAUGCAAGUCGAACGCAGUGGGGACGGGUGAGUAACACGUGGGUAACCUCCCAUCAGAGGGGAUAACACUUGGAAACAGGUGCUAAACCGAUACUGAUGGAUGGACCCGCGGUGCAUUAGCUAGUUGGUGAGGUAACGGCUCACCAAGGCCACGAUGCAUAGCGGACCUAGGGGGGUGAUCGGCCACAGUGGGACUGAGAAAGGGCCCAGACUCCUAGGGGAGGCAGAAGAAGGGAAUCUUCGGAAAUGGACGAAAGUCGGACCGAGAAACGCCGCGUGAGUGAAAAAGGUUUUGGGAUCGUAAAACUCUGUUGUUAGAGAAGGGGUAUCUACCCAGAAAGCCACGGCUAAUUACGUGCCAGCAGCGGCGGUAAUC